rnacentral:rRNA from 1 species
GGCCAGUGCCAAAGAAGCAUGACGGCAAGUGGACGAUUUUCGAUCACUCUACUUGUGCGCUAUCGGUCUCUGGCCAAUAUUUAGCUUUAGAAGAAAUAUACCUCCCAUUUAGAGCAGCAUUCCCAAACUACUCGACUCGUCGAAGGAGCUUUACAAAGACUUGGUGUCCAACCGUACGGGGCUCUCACCCUCUAUGGCGUCCCGUUCCAGGGAACUCGGAAGGCACCGCGCCAAAAGCAUCCUCUGCAAAUUACAACUCGGGCCUGGGGCCAGAUUUCAAAUUUGAGCUGUUGCCGCUUCACUCGCCGUUACUGGGGCAAUCCCUGUUGGUUUCUUUUCCUCCGCUUAUUGAUAUGCUUAAGUUCAGCGGGUAUUCCUACCUGAUCCGAGGUCAACCUUUGGAAAAUUGGGGGGUUUUACGGCAAGAGUCCCUCCGGAUCCCAGUGCGAGACGAAAUGUUACUACGCAAAGGAGGCUCCGGGAGGGUCCGCCACUACCUUUGAGGGCCUACGUCGACUGUAGAGCCCCAACACCAAGCAGAGCUUGAGGGUUGAAAUGACGCUCGAACAGGCAUGCCCGCCAGAAUGCUGGCGGGCGCAAUGUGCGUUCAAAGAUUCGAUGAUUCACUGAAUUCUGCAAUUCACAUUACUUAUCGCAUUUCGCUGCGUUCUUCAUCGAUGCCAGAACCAAGAGAUCCGUUGUUAAAAGUUUUGAUUAUUUUGCUUAUGCCACUCAGAAGAAACGUCGUUACAAUAGAGUUUGGUUAUCCUCCGGCGGGCGCCGGGUCCGGUCCCGCGGGGGGUCCGGUCCGGGCCGGGAGGCGUCCUUUUCAGGGGACGGCCUACCCGCCGAAGCAACAGUUGUAGGUAUGUUCACAAAGGGUUAUAGAGCGGUAACUCAGUAAUGAUCCCUCCGCUGGUUCACCAACGGAGACCUUGUUACGACUUUUACUUCCUCUAAAUGACCGAGUUUGGAUAACUUUUCGACUCUGAGUGGUAGUUGCCCACCUCUCUGAGUCAAUCCGAAAGCCUCACUGAGCCAUUCAAUCGGUAGUAGCGACGGGCGGUGUGUACAAAGGGCAGGGACGUAAUCAACGCAAGCUGAUGACUUGCGCUUACUAGGGAUUCCUCGUUGAAGAGCAAUAAUUGCAAUGCUCUAUCCCCAGCACGACAGAGUUUAACAAGAUUACCCGGCCCUUUCGGACAAGGAAGUACUCGCUGGCUCUGUCAGUGUAACGCGCGUGCGGCCCAGAACAUCUAAGGGCAUCACAGACCUGUUAUUGCCUCAAACUUCCAUCGGCUUGAGCCGAUAGUCCCUCUAAGAAGCCGGCGUACUGCCAAAGCAAUACGGGCUAUUUAGCAGGUUAAGGUCUCGUUCGUUAUCGCAAUUAAGCAGACAAAUCACUCCACCAACUAAGAACGGCCAUGCACCACCACCCACAAAAUCAAGAAAGAGCUCUCAAUCUGUCAAUCCUCAUUGUGUCUGGACCUGGUGAGUUUCCCCGUGUUGAGUCAAAUUAAGCCGCAGGCUCCACCCCUGGUGGUGCCCUUCCGUCAAUUUCUUUAAGUUUCAGCCUUGCGACCAUACUCCCCCUGGAGCCCAAGCACUUUGAUUUCUCGUAAGGUGCCGAACGAGUCAAAAAAUAACAUCGUCCGAUCCCUAGUCGGCAUAGUUUAUGGUUAAGACUACGACGGUAUCUGAUCGUCUUCGAUCCCCUAACUUUCGUUCCUGAUAAAUGAAAACAUCCUUGGCAAAUGCUUUCGCAGUAGUUAGUCUUCAAUAAAUCCAAGAAUUUCACCUCUGACAAUUGAAUACUGAUGCCCCCGACUGUCCCUAUUAAUCAUUACGGCGGUCCUAGAAACCAACAAAAUAGAACCACACGUCCUAUUCUAUUAUUCCAUGCUAAUGUAUUCGAGCAUAGGCCUGCCUGGAGCACUCUAAUUUUUUCAAAGUAAAAAUAUAGUUUCGCCAACACACCCAGUGAAGGGCAUGCGGUUAGACUAUGGUGGGAGCCCGGCCGGACCAGUACACGCGGUGAGGCGGACCGGUCAGCCAGGCCCAAGGUUCUACUACGAGCUUUUUAACCACAACAACUUUAAUAUACGCUAUUGGAGCUGGAAUUACCGCGGCUGCUGGCACCAGACUUGCCCUCCAAUUGUUCCUCGUUAAGGGAUUUAAAUUGUACUCAUUCCAAUUACAAGACCCAAAAGAGCCCUGUAUCAGUAUUUAUCGUCACUACCUCCCCGUGUCGGGAUUGGGUAAUUUGCGCGCCUGCUGCCUUCCUUGGAUGUAGUAGCCGUUUCUCAGGCUCCUUCUCCGGGGUCGAGCCCUAACCCUCCGUUACCCGUUGUAACCAUGCUAGAACACUACUCUAGCAUCGAAAGUUGAUAGGGAAGAAAUUUGAAUGAACCAUCGCCGGCGCAAGGCCAUGCGAUUCGAGAAGUUAUUAUGAAUCACCAGUGAGCCCCGAAGGGCAUUGGUUUUUAAUCUAAUAAAUACAUCCCUUCCGAAGUCGGGAUUUUUAGCAUGUAUUAGCUCUAGAAUUACCACGGUUAUCCAAUCUCCAGAGGAUCGCCGGGAACCGAGGACGAGUUCGUAAU